ACGACGCUGGCGGCGUGCUUAACACAUGCAAGUCGAACGGUGAACCAGAGCUUGCUCUGGGGAUCAGUGGCGAACGGGUGAGUAACACGUGGGCAACCUGCCCCAGACUCUGGGAUAACCUCGGGAAACCGAUGCUAAUACCGGAUACGACCACUUCGGACAUCCGACGGUGGUGGAAAGUUUUUCGGUCUGGGAUGGGCCCGCGGCCUAUCAGCUAGUUGGUGGGGUAAUGGCCUACCAAGGCGACGACGGGUAGCCGGCCUGAGAGGGCGACCGGCCACACUGGAACUGAGACACGGUCCAGACUCCUACGGGAGGCAGCAGUGGGGAAUAUUGCACAAUGGGCGAAAGCCUGAUGCAGCGACGCCGCGUGAGGGACGACGGCCUUCGGGUUGUAAACCUCUUUCAGCAGGGACGAAGCGAAAGUGACUGUACCUGCAGAAGAAGCACCGGCUAACUACGUG
rnacentral:rRNA from 1 species